UACGUAGGGCGCAAGCGUUAUCCGGAAUUAUUGGGCGUAAAGAGCUCGUAGGCGGUUUGUCGCGUCUGCCGUGAAAGUCCGGGGCUCAACUCCGGAUCUGCGGUGGGUACGGGCAGACUAGAGUGAUGUAGGGGGAGACUGGAAUUCCUGGUGUAGCGGUGAAAUGCGCAGAUAUCAGGAGGAACACCGAUGGCGAAGGCAGGUCUCUGGGCAUUAACUGACGCUGAGGAGCGAAAGCUGGGGAGCGAACAGG
rnacentral:rRNA from 1 species